CUUACAUAAACCUGGCGAGAACUAUUAUGCGUGAAAUGCUUCAGCCACUGAUCUCCUUCGAACGGCAACUGUUAGUUAUUGUGAGAGCUUUUUUUGUAAGGAUUCUUCCGCAAUGCUGAAAUUUCCAGAUCAGAAAAUGUAGAAGCGGCGGUAAUCUCGAUAGUGCUCGAUGACACGUAGCCGCUAACGACGAGAAACAGAGAAUGCGGUUUGAUAUGCAGGUAUUGGAUACUCAGUAAAACCAGCAAAAACAAAAGGUACAAAUUUACCGAGGAACGGAAUCGUGAUUUGUUACGUUGAACAAUCGAAUUUAUUGAAGCCUUUGCUCCACUUUGUUAGUACAAUUUCGCGUUUACGACCGAAUAAACCGGCGUCAGCUGUAAGUACGGGAAGACAUGGUCAACUGUAUUUGUAAUUAAACUCGAUCGUCGAUCACUUGAUUCGACACUUCGAGCACUCGUUCGCGUGCAACAUUUCAUUUCAAAAGAGAUCGAAAGACACGGUAGAGUCUCGCGCCAAGUGCAUGCGCAAAGCGACACAUGAGCCGCGAGGCCAGCCGUCUAUACUUACUCGUGCAACUAGUUGAACGCAACAAUAUCGUGCCGCCGUAGCGGCAGAUUUUUAUUUAGUUUCCGAGUGGGCUCGAUCGAUUGCCUCGAGGUUCAAUUAUAGAAAAAAAAAAUGGUCUUUAUUCAUCUUAACGCCGCGUUAUCGAGCCUUCAAAUUCAGGUCGCUGCAUUUAGAAUCACCUUAGAGUCUGGGCUACGAGCUGCCGUCACCUGGAGGAAUUCCGUAUAUUCUGAUUCAGCUCGCUGAGAGUCAAUUCUGCGCGCGGAACUAUUUGUUGGGAAUACCGUUCAAAGUACGUACCGCGCGUUCGUCGCG